rnacentral:rRNA from 1 species
AUGAACGCUGGCGGCGUGCCUAAUACAUGCAAGUCGAGCGAACAGACGAGGAGCUUGCUCCUCUGACGUUAGCGGCGGACGGGUGAGUAACACGUGGAUAACCUACCUAUAAGACUGGGAUAACUUCGGGAAACCGGAGCUAAUACCGGAUAAUAUAUUGAACCGCAUGGUUCAAUAGUGAAAGACGGUUUUGCUGUCACUUAUAGAUUGAUCCGCGCCGCAUUAGCUAGUUGGUAAGGUAACGGCUUACCAAGGCGACGAUGCGUAGCCACCUGAGAGGGUGAUCGGCCACACUGGAACUGAGACACGGUCCAGACUCCUACGGGAGGCAGCAGUAGGGAAUCUUCCGCAAUGGGCGAAAGCCUGACGGAGCAACGCCGCGUGAGUGAUGAAGGUCUUCGGAUCGUAAAACUCUGUUAUUAGGGAAGAACAAAUGUGUAAGUAACUAUGCACGUCUUGACGGUACCUAAUCAGAAAGCCACGGCUAACUACGUG